AAUAUAAUUUAAUAAUUUUUUUGUUCAGCCAAUAUCGGUUUGUCUGUGAAGCCAUCACCUCUGUGUAUAAGAGCGGAAGGGUCAAACCACUUCCGGAGUUUUCCGCGUAGAUGACGGAAUUUACGCCAAGCGGACUGAAUUAUAAACAAAUCCAUCAUCUGUUGUUUACUUAAGUAUUUGCCACAAACUCUAAUUUUCUAAUCCUUAUAUCUUUGAAUUAGAAAAUCAGAGUUUGUGACAUAGAAUCGAUUCCUUUCACAAAACUUUCCGGGGAAAAAAUCUUGUGGAAAUGACAAAAAUUUUAGAAAUGAAAAAAAUGACAUCACGCUUUAAUCUUCCAUGUACAACAACCUUGUUACCUUGUAAAGUGUACAGUGUACAGUAGUUCUUUGUUGUUCAGUGUUGUACUGUACUGUGCUCACAUAUACUUUUGUUGUCAAUAAAUUUAAUGAAUAAGUCAUGAACAUAAGGAAUAAGACACAUAUGUUUUCAAUAUAAAUUUUGUACAAAACACCAAAAAUAGAAAAUGUCCUUUUAUUAAUCUAAAACUGCAAAUAAGACAAGUAGACUGAUUAUAAAAUAAACCAAGGAAUUUCAGAAAAUUUUGUAAUUAAAGUAAUAAACUUAAACCUUUCUUUUAGCCAUAUUGGCGAGUCGUACAAUUAUUAAUUUAUCCAUAUUUAUGUAUUUGUAUGUUAACAUUUGAAUAAAAUUUGCAUAUCAUA